GCAGUAAUUAGCUAGGGACCGAAAUUCAAAGACAAAAUGUAUUUUCAGGUGCAGAUUUUCAGCUUCCUACUAAUCAGUGCCUCAGUCACAAUGUCCAGAGGACAAAUUGUUCUCACCCAGUCUCCAGCAAUCAUGUCUGCAUCUUCAGGGGAGAAGGUCACCAUGACAUGUAGUGCCAGCUCAAGUGUAAGUUACAUGUACUGGUACCAGCAGAAGCCAGGAUCCUCCCCCAAACUCUGGAUUUAUGACACAUCCAACCUGGCUUCUGGAGUCCCUGCUCGCUUCAGUGGCAGUGGGUCUGGGACCUCUUAUUCUCUCACAAUCAGCAGCAUGGAGGCUGAAGAUGCUGCCACUUAUUACUGCCAGCAGUGGAGAAGUCACCCAACCACACAGUGA